rnacentral:rRNA from 1 species
UACGGAGGGGGCAAGCGUUGUUCGGAAUUACUGGGCGUAAAGGGCGCGUAGGUGGCCUUCUUAGUCAGACGUGAAAUCCCCGGGCUUAACUCGGGAACUGCGUCUGAUACUGGAAGGCUGGAGUUCGGGAGAGGAAUGUGGAAUUCCAGGUGUAGCGGUGAAAUGCGUAGAUAUCUGGAGGAACACCGGUGGCGAAGGCGGCAUUCUGGACCGAAACUGACGCUGAGGCGCGAAAGCCAGGGGAGCAAACGGG